UGCGGUUGCGCGAAAGGACACGUCGAAAUGAGGCUCAUAACCUGAAGGCCGCAGGUUCAAAUCCUGCCCCCGCAACCA
rnacentral:tRNA from 1 species